GGUACUUCUAGUCUUAAAUUCUCGAGCAAUUUGACAACAUAAUCCAGGCAGCAGGCGAGGGCGCCCGCCAAAGGAGAACCCGACGCGAAUCAUAAGAAAACAGGAGGCAAGAGAGAGCUAGAAGAAUCAAAGCUUUUACUCGAGAGAAGACAAGAGAAGAGCGCUCAAAACGUUGUAUUGUAAGUGGAUGUUUCCCUUUUUUUGGAUUUUACUUGAAUCACUAUAAUACCUGAAGUACAUAGAAUUGCUGAAUAGAUUCUACGAGAUUCUACUUACUAGUUCCAAAACAGUGCUAAGAUCGUGGCCAGCUCAAUCCUUGGCUGUAAAAAAACAAACAAGUUCAAUACAAACAAAUUGUACGUAUUAUUUGCGGAAGUUAUGGAAAACCCAGGAAUAUGUGUAUUUACAAACAUUCAUAUGCAUGGCUAUUUCUCAUAGAGAGUAUUUAGCAGCCUCCACCGCCGCCACCUCCUCCGCAGCCACCACCACCACCGCCGCCGCCACCGCCACCACAGC
rnacentral:lncRNA from 1 species